rnacentral:rRNA from 1 species
AGAUGUUUACUCGUCCGCCGUGGUCUAGCUGCCCACUGAAAGUUUUUAAAUGGCCGCAGUAUAUUAACUGUGCAAAGGUAGCAUAAUCAUUAGUCUUUUAAUUGAAGGCUGGAAUGAAUGGUUGGACGUAAUAUUAACUGUUUCAUAUAAAUUUAAUAUAGAAUUUUAUUUUUUAGUUAAAAAGCUAAAAUUGAAUUAAAAGACGAGAAGACCCUAUAAAUCUUGAUAAUCUAUUCCUUUUAAUUAUAAAGAUUAAUUUUAUUAUAAUGAAUAAGAUUAUUUUAUUGGGGUGAUAUUAAAAUUUAAUAAACUUUUAAUUUAUUAAAUCAUUAAUUUAUGAAUUUUUGAUCCAAUUAUAUUGAUUAUAAAUUUAAGUUACUUUAGGGAUAACAGCGUAAUUUUUUUGGAGAGUUCAUAUCGAUAAAAAAGAUUGCGACCUCGAUGUUGGAUUAAGAGAUAAAUUUGGGCGCAGCCGUUCAAAAGUUUAAGUCUGUUCGACUUUUAAAUUCUUACGUGAUCUGAGUUCAGACCGGA